UACCGGGGUUUGAACUGUACGGGACCGCGGCAGAGAUGUCGCUUUCCUUCGGGACCCGUAUAGAGGUGCUGCAUGGCUGUCGUCAGCUCGUGUCGUGAGAUGUUGGGUUAAGUCCCGCAACGAGCGCAACCCUUGCCUCCUGUUGCUAACGAGUAAAGUCGAGCACUCUGGAGAGACUGCCGGUGAUAAACCGGAGGAAGGUGGGGAUGACGUCAAGUCCUCAUGGCCUUUAUGCCCCGGGCUACACACGUGCUACAAUGGCUGGUACAAAGGGUUGCAAAACCGCGAGGUUGAGCUAAUCCCAAAAAGCCAGUCCCAGUUCGGAUUGCAGUCUGCAACUCGACUGCAUGAAGUUGGAAUCGCUAGUAAUCGCGGAUCAGCACGCCGCGGUGAAUACGUUCCCGGGCCUUGUACACACCGCCCGUCACAUCACGAAAGCCGGCUGUACUAGAAGUCGCUGAGCUGACCCGUAAGGGAGGCAGGCGCCCACGGUAUGGUCGGUGAUUGGGGUGAAGUCGUAACAAGGUAACCAAGGG
rnacentral:rRNA from 1 species